rnacentral:rRNA from 1 species
GGUGAACGCUAGCGGCGUGCUUAAAACAUGCAAGUCGAACGGCAGUCUUCGGACUGUAGUGGCGCACGGGUGAGUAACGCGUAACUGACCUACCCCAAAGUCGCGGAUAACGAUUCGAAAGAAUCGCUAAUACGUGAUGUGCUGUCAGAUUGUGUUCUGCCAGUAAAGAUUGAUUGCUUUGGGAUGGGGUUGCGUUCCAUCAGCUAGUUGGUGGGGUAAAGGCCCACCAAGGCGACGACGGAUAGCCGGCCUGAGAGGGUGGCCGGCCACAGGGGCACUGAGACACGGGUCCCACUCCUACGGGAGGCAGCAGUUAGGAAUCUUCCACAAUGGGCGAAAGCCUGAUGGAGCGACGCCGCGUGAGGGAUGAAGGUCUUCGGAUCGUAAACCUCUGAAUCAGGGACGAAAGACACUUCGGUGGGAUGACGGUACCUGAGUAAUAGCACCGGCUAACUCCGUGCCAGCAGCCGCCGUAACAC